CCUACGGGAGGCAGCAGUGGGGAAUUUUGGACAAUGGACGAAAGUCUGAUCCAGCCAUGCCGCGUGCGGGAAGAAGGCCUUCGGGUUGUAAACCGCUUUUGUCAGGGAAGAAAUCCUUUGAGUUAAUACCUCGGGGGGAUGACGGUACCUGAAGAAUAAGCACCGGCUAACUACGUGCCAGCAGCCGCGGUAAUACGUAGGGUGCAAGCGUUAAUCGGAAUUACUGGGCGUAAAGCGUGCGCAGGCGGUUAUGUAAGACAGAGGUGAAAUCCCCGGGCUCAACCUGGGAACUGCCUUUGUGACUGCAUAGCUUGAGUGCGGCAGAGGGGGAUGGAAUUCCGCGUGUAGCAGUGAAAUGCGUAGAUAUGCGGAGGAACACCGAUGGCGAAGGCAAUCCCCUGGGCCUGCACUGACGCUCAUGCACGAAAGCGUGGGGAGCAAACAGGAUUAGAUACCCUGGUAGUCCACGCCCUAAACGAUGUCAACUGGUUGUUGGGAAGGUUCCUUCUCAGUAACGUAGCUAACGCGUGAAGUUGACCGCCUGGGGAGUACGGCCGCAAGGUUGAAACUUAAGGAAUUGACGG
rnacentral:rRNA from 1 species